GUCUGAAUGGGGAGUAAACGUUGUAUGAUGGCAUUGCCCUUUGUGCUGUGCCCGGUUUCCUUUGCCCUAUUUCUCCUUGCCCUUCAAACCCCGGUCUCAAGCCAAGCACACCUACAUCUCCUUAUAUAUAUAUAUAUAUAUGUAUGUAUAUAUAAUUUUUUUUUGUAAGAGAUGUCAAGUUUAAUGAGAUUUGUGGGGUUCUCAAUGUCAUUCACAACUCCUUCUGCCCAGUUGCGUGGCUGUUGUCUCAGGAGAUCCCUUUCUUCUUGCUUAUCUCUUUGGACUUGAGGUCACCGACAACCAGAGGAAGAAACCCUGGGGUGCCUGCAUGCAAAUCCCUCUGUUCAGCUCAUUGCUUCAGUGAUAGAUGGAUCCUGGAUGGUGCACAUACCCAUUUUGCACGCUUAUCACAGGACAAGGGAGAGAAGCUCGCGCCUCCUACUCUCCAUUUUACCUGGGAUGGGACCAGUGUGCUUUCUAAAGGAGAAGCAGCCUGCCCUUCUGCUGUGGGCAUGAGAAGGGUGAUGAAGAAGGGAAAAUUAGGGGAAAACAGCUUUCCUUCAGCAGCAUCUCCCUUGCAAAUGCUCCUCGCCCCACAUCCAGAAGUUUGCCAGAGCUGGUUCCAGGUCUGCUCCCAGAAAUGCUUCUUCACCAGUGCUGGUGUGGGGACAAGGAGGAGUCCAAACUGACUGCUUGAGGAGGAAGGUCCAAAGCGAAGAUAAAGCUGAUUUCCUCCCCUGGCGGCAGCAGCGGAUGCAGAGAACAAUAGGUACGGUGCCUGCUCAGGGGACAACUCCUGCUCCCUUGUGCCGUGCCCAGCCCUCAGCUGGGGAUGGAGGGACCCACCCGAGGGGAAAGCCAGCUCCAGAGGAGUGGUUUGGAAAGGAACAUUGCAAAAAUUCAUGGAAAGCUGUGAUUGAGCGAAGAAUGAGGUCGCGCAGCCGUUCCAGGAAAGGUGCAGCAAGAUAUGUGUUUACUGCAGAAAUUCUAUGGAAUGGGUAAAAAUAAAAGAAUCUCACCUCUGGGAAGGUGCAGGAGGUCAGAAGAACCUGAGAGCAAGCAGUCACAGAGCUGUGACCUGUCCCAGGAGCCCCUUUUUGGUGCCUGGUCACUGAUGUGAGGCUGCUUAUUGCAAAACCUGCAGUGGGACGUAUCCAGUUAUCACUGUCUCUGGGUAAUGUAGAUAAAACGUUUGCUUUUUUAUUUUUACCUCAG
ensembl:lncRNA